GCGGCAGAGCAGCACCGUGACCCAGCCCCGCCGUCGAUGCUGCGGGAAUGGGGGUUGCUAAGCCCGCUCCCAGGAAUCCACAGGAAAAGCCUCUGUGUGGGUACGGAGAGAUGCCGGCUUGGCCGGAGGGACGUGGGCAGCAGUGGCCUCCUCUCCUGAGCAGCAUCAGCACCUCCGAGCACGCUUAGGCCAGGACUAGCUCUGAACCACCCCCAAAGCCCUCGGUCAGCGAGGAUACACAACAGCGCGCUCCUGCGCCGUGACGACGGUCCGAGGGGAGGGUUUGCUCAUCUCAGGCCCUUGGCUUGAAUCCUUUCCGUUUCAGUGAGGAACGGAGACCAGGAACGCCCGGGGUAGGAAGCGCAUAUGAACGCCCAACCCAGGCGGAAGAGAAACAAACACAUUCUCAAAUUAGAAGGCUGCUGUGAGUGCAAUGACACUCUGGGCUUAGCCGAGGAUUUCGCAGAAACCAGGGAACACGAGCUGUACUCCAGAACUGUGCUUUCCCUUACACCUGGAGCAGCCACAUUACUCAAGAGCAAACAUUUUGUGCAAGAAGUCACCUCCAGCUAUGCAUAAAACAUGCUCCUGUCCAGACUCGC